rnacentral:rRNA from 1 species
UACGUAGGGUGCGAGCGUUAAUCGGAAUUACUGGGCGUAAAGCGUGCGCAGGCGGUUUUGUAAGCCAGAUGUGAAAUCCCCGGGCUCAACCUGGGAAUGGCAUUUGGGACUGCAAGGCUGGAGUGUGGCAGAGGAGACUGGAAUUCCUGGUGUAGCAGUGAAAUGCGUAGAUAUCAGGAGGAAUACCGAUGGCGAAGGCAGGUCUCUGGGCUGACACUGACGCUCAUGCACGAAAGGCGUGGGGAGCAAACAGG